rnacentral:piRNA from 1 species
UCAACUCUUAAUAUAGACCCUGCACAGCCUG